GUGGAAUAAUUAUACUUGAGAACCAGCUGACAGUUUUAUAAUUCCUUUACUGUAUGAGAUCAGAAUGCCUCUAUAGCAUAUGGAACUUUUUCUUGUUUCAAACUGGGCCAAACAUAACCACUCUGUUUUCUCUGGUGAACAUAGGAAGCUUUGUCACUUUCCGUCCUUAGUCAAUUUUCAACCAAGUUUCAAAUACCAGAUCUGACCAGGUUGGAAGUUUAGCAGCCAAGAAGAGCCCUAAUCCUGCUACUGAUCACCAUGGAAGCUUCAACCAAUAUAUUUAUGACAUGGCAUGGGCCUGUCUGACCCUUCUUAGGCUGGUGGUGGCCCCCCAGUGCUAUAGGCUUUUUAUAUUGGAGCUGGACUUAGUUCAAAUUGGGCCCCUAGUUAGCUUUAGUUCUACUUUAGCUCAGAAGUCUUGAUAUCAAACAAUCCAGCAACCCCUCGAUGAAUAGUGAUGAAGAUUACAAGCAUAUACUACCACUUCCAGCAUAAUUUCUACUUUUAUAAAAUGUUUUAGUACUUUUUCCCAGUUGAGCCUCUUAACCCUGUUAGAAUGUCAAUCCUAUUGCAAAAAUUGGAAACUAUUUGAGAAGAGAUGACUGAGAAGGGUGGGAACAAAGCUGACAACUCAUAGCAGAGAAAGAAAAUAUUUGGUUGUCUUGGAAGAGAAGAAGUAUGUGUAAUAAAUCACCACAUAGAACAGGGAAAAAUGCUGCUCUGCGUCUGCGUCUGCGCUGUCUUGCUGGGGAAAGAGCUGUCCAGGAUUUCAGCAGCCUAGCAGACAUUCAGAGUCGGAGCUGUCCAGACUUUCCCGUUUGGCGUUUAGGAUCUUCGAACUGCUUGUAUACAGAUCAUUUUGAAGGAGAGUCGAAACAGGAAGUUACUAAGGUAAGUUCACUUUUUAAAUAUGAAAGAAAACUAGAGAAACAGAACUACGAGAUUACUAUUAACUUAGGGAGAUGCAAAAGGAACAACAAAUGCUCAAUAAACGCAGCAGUAUUUGCAGUGGUAAAUGCAGUCGUAGAAAGACGACAUUUGGUUGGUUUCUGA
rnacentral:lncRNA from 1 species